UGGGGAAUUUUGGACAAUGGGCGCAAGCCUGAUCCAGCCAUGCCGCGUGCGGGAAGAAGGCCUUCGGGUUGUAAACCGCUUUUGUCAGGGAAGAAAUCCUUUGAGCUAAUACCUCGGGGGGAUGACGGUACCUGAAGAAUAAGCACCGGCUAACUACGUGCCAGCAGCCGCGGUAAUACGUAGGGUGCAAGCGUUAAUCGGAAUUACUGGGCGUAAAGCGUGCGCAGGCGGUUAUGUAAGACAGAGGUGAAAUCCCCGGGCUCAACCUGGGAAUUGCCUUUGUGACUGCAAGGCUUGAGUGCGGCAGAGGGGGAUGGAAUUCCGUGUGUAGCAGUGAAAUGCGUAGAUAUGCGGAGGAACACCGAUGGCGAAGGCAGCCUCCUGGGCCAGUACUGACGCUCAUGCACGAAGGCGUGGGGAGCAAACA
rnacentral:rRNA from 1 species